rnacentral:rRNA from 1 species
UACGGAGGGUGCAAGCGUUAAUCGGAAUUACUGGGCGUAAAGCGCACGCAGGUGGCUGAGUCAGUCGAUUGUGAAAGCCCUGGGCUUAACCUGGGAAUUGCAGUCGAUACUACUCAGCUAGAGUAUGGGAGAGGGUAGUGGAAUUCCCGGUGUAGCGGUGAAAUGCGUAGAUAUCAGGAGGAACACCAAUAGCGAAGGCAGCUCGCUGGGACGUUACUGACACUGAGGCGCGAAAGCGUGGGGAGCGAACAGG